rnacentral:rRNA from 1 species
CCUACGGGAGGCAGCAGUGGGGAAUCUUGCGCAAUGGCCGAGAGGCUGGCGCAGCGACGCCGCGUGGGGGAUGAAGCAUUUCGGUGUGUAAACCCCUGUUGCUCGGGACGAACGAUCCUUUUCGAGGGAUGUGACGGUACCGAGUGAGGAAGCACCGGCUAACUCCGUGCCAGCAGCCGCGGUAAUACGGAGGGUGCGAGCGUUGUCCGGAAUCACUGGGCGUAAAGGGCGCGUAGGUGGUUAGAUGCGCCGGUGGUGAAAGCGCAGGGCUCAACCCUGCGUCGGCCAUCGGGACGGUCUGACUGGAGCACUGUAGAGGCAGGUGGAAUUCCGGGUGUAGCGGUGGAAUGCGUAGAGAUCCGGAAGAACACCGGUGGCGAAGGCGGCCUGCUGGGCAGUUGCUGACACUGAGGCGCGACAGCGUGGGGAGCAAACAGGAUUAGAUACCCUGGUAGUCCACGCCGUAAACGAUGGGCACUAGGUGCUUGGGGGAGCGACCCCCUGAGUGCCGACGCUAACGCAUUAAGUGCCCCGCCUGGGGAGUACGACCGCAAGGUUGAAACUCAAAGGAAUUGACGG